UACAGAGGGUGCGAGCGUUAAUCGGAAUUACUGGGCGUAAAGCGUGCGUAGGUGGUUUGUUAAGUCCGUUGUGAAAGCCCUGGGCUCAACCUGGGAAUGGCAGUGGAUACUGGCAAGCUAGAGUGCGGUAGAGGGUAGUGGAAUUCCCGGUGUAGCAGUGAAAUGCGUAGAGAUCGGGAGGAACACCAGUGGCGAAGGCGGCUACCUGGACCAGCACUGACACUGAGGCACGAAAGCGUGGGGAGCAAACAGG
rnacentral:rRNA from 1 species